rnacentral:rRNA from 1 species
UACGGGGGGGGUAAGCGUUGUUCGGAAUUACUGGGCGUAAAGGGCUCGUAGGCGGUCCGUCACGUCGGGAGUGAAAACUCAGGGCUCAACCCUGAGCGUGCUUCCGAUACGGGCGGACUAGAGGUAUGCAGGGGAGAACGGAAUUCCUGGUGUAGCGGUGGAAUGCGCAGAUAUCAGGAGGAACACCGGUGGCGAAGGCGGGUCUCUGGGCAGUAACUGACGCUGAGGAGCGAAAGCGUGGGGGGCGGACAGG